rnacentral:tRNA from 1 species
GCCCCUAUAGUUCAGCCUGGAUAGAACACGACCUUGCGGAGGUUGUAACCGAGGUUCAAAUCCUCGUGGGGGCG